rnacentral:rRNA from 1 species
UACGUAGGGGGCUAGCGUUGUCCGGAAUCAUUGGGCGUAAAGCGCGUGUAGGCGGUCCGGUAAGUCCGCUGUGAAAGUCGAGGGCUCAACCCUCGAAUGCCGGUGGAUACUGUCGGGCUAGAGUGCGGAAGAGGCGAGUGGAAUUCCUGGUGUAGCGGUGAAAUGCGCAGAUAUCAGGAGGAACACCUAUUGCGAAGGCAGCUCGCUGGGACGUUACUGACGCUGAUGCGCGAAAGCGUGGGGAGCAAACGGG